GACACGAUGAAGAUUAUUCAUCAGGCCCAUAAAUCAAAGACCAACGAGCUGGUGCUGAGCCUGGACGACGAUGACCGGCCGGUACUCAGGGAGGACAGCACGCUGGAGGCGGCCGGAGUGGCCAACGAAACGGAAAUAGCGUUCUUCUGUGGCGAAGAUUACAAGAACUACAAAGCGAACCCCGUUUCGUCGUGGUGAUGGAGAUCCCCAAGCCGGCCCCGCUCCGAACCCCAAGUGAGCUCCUUUAUUCUGCUCGAUGAAUUCAUCCGUUCAUCCAUCCAAUCGUAUUUAUUGAGCGCUUACUGUGUGCAGAGCACUGUACUAAGCGCUUGGGAAGUGCAGUCGAGAAAAAUAAAUCCACAGAGACGAGUCGGCGGAGCGAGGCCACUUCCUCUCCAGAUCAGUGACGGUCGGGGAGCUUUGGAGGCGGUUCGUGGCUCAGUGGAAAGA